GGUCAGGAGUUCAAGACCAGCCUGGCUUACAUGGUGAAACCCUGUCUCUACUAAAAAAAACACACACACACCACAAUGCAUGAAACAUUGUUAAAGUUAGAGUUGAGGCAGUUGCCUUUCAAGGAUGUUAUAGAGAACUGUGAAGCAAGAAACAGGUUUGAACAGGAGGGUGGGCUGGAGAAAAGAGCAGCUAGAAUGAUUAUCAAAAGUAAAGAAGAAAGUAAAAAUAUAAAACCACCUUAUCAGAGUUAUGCCUUUAUAAACACACAUUCACAUAUUCUAUUCUAAAAACACAUAAUACGUAUUCUAUUUUAUGGUCUAAAUUUACCAAAAAGGUCCUGAGAAAAGUUUCAGGAAUUCAUAGAGUCCUCUUAAUGGCAACAAAAAUUUUGAGAGAAACUGCAAAGCACAAAUCCACAGAAAUAACAGCAUACUUUCGGUUAAGCAUCUUCACCUUAGAGGGGGCAUUCCAAAAUGUAAUUUCCUUUAUUUCUACCAGUUUUUAGAGCUGUCAGAAUUUCAUGCUUCUAGUUCACCAAUACAUUCACGUGUGUGCAUGUGCACACACACACUACCAAGGUGCAAGACAGAUGUGAAUGGACAGUCUAGAAGUCAGGUGAAUAUUAAUGAGAAAGAUAACAUAGGGAUAGCCCUCCCAUUUCUACUUCCACCUUCAUUGACCCUUAUACUGCCCCCUGGACAUUCUUACCAUUAGCUGGCAGGUAUGUGAGCGUAGUGCUGAAGAUGUCUCAUGUGGAUAAAAUCUAACUCAGUUAAAAGUAGGAUUCUGUAUCUUAACUCUUAUCUAGGGAACUAACUGCACGAUCUGUAUAUAGUCGCCUCUCAGGAUAAUACAUAUAUAGAAGAUGGUAAUGCUCAGGGCUAAAUAUGUUCUGGAAGCCUUUUAUAAGUUCUCAGGCCUGUGUCCUGGUAAACAUCACCUUAGUGAUUAUUUGGUCUGCAUUCAUUGGAAGAGCUUAGGGAUAGAAAAUUCCUCCUGCCCUCUCCAGCUGUUUGCUGCCUGUACCAUCGCACAGAACUCACAUUACUUUAAAUUUAGAUUAUGAAAGAUAAUACUGAAGAGCAAAGUGACUUGUAUCUGUCAUUUCAGUCUCCUUGCAAAUUUCAUACAUACUUAAUGAUUAGUACAUUCAGACUAAAGGGAACUUUCUUUUGAUGGCACAUACUAUGGUAAAUCAAAGCACAGACUCAGAAGUGCUUACCAGCCUUCAAAAGUAAGAGUAAAAUGGGAUAUUCUUACCCUUUUUUUUUUUUUUUUUUAGUAUUUCUAAGUGAAUCUCUAUAAUAUUCUUUGUCUGUUUAAAGAAAACAGCCUCCCAUCACAUAGUGGCUUCAUGCUAAGCUCCUAGCAAGAAGAGAAAAUGAUGUUUUUGGCUUUAGUUUUAUAAACAAGAUCAAAAGCUUAAUCCUGGCAUUCUGGUGUAAAGAAGGAACACAGCAUUGAUAUUUCACUCAUCCAGUCUGUUACAAUUUGCAGUUCACAUCAUUACUCUGUGCUUAAAUUUAAAAAGCUUUUCAAAACAUCGUGACAUGUGUAGCAUUUAAAUUCCAUUUUAUUCUUUGUCUUAAAUCCGGCAGUGGUAUAGUUCAAGAUUAAUAACUUAUUGGGAGUCUCUCAGUCAUAUAGAAUAUUAAAUUUAAUAUAGGCACAUGCAGUAAGAAAAACUAAUGCAAACAAUUUUUCACUGUUAAUUUUGUUGUACUUGAAGCAUAAUUUAUUCAUCCCUUCUGUCACUGGUAAUUAUUGGAAUUAUGUGCUUUAGGAGGCUAAUCCAUGCCGAAGAAGCACACACAUACUGUUCAGAAUGUGCAAGUUGAUGUAGGGAAAGGAAGCUUCAGAAAUGUACAAAAUCCUGUGAUUUGUUCAGUAAGAAAAGAGUUGUAACCAAAAUUUCUUCUGGUCUGGAUGUAAUUAGUCCAGUCACAAAUCUUUGUGUUAAUGGAUUGUUCAAGAGUUAUAUCUCACUACUGCAUAGUUCCCCUCCUAAGUCCUUAAACUUAUUAAAAUAAGGGGAGGUAAACAAGCAGUCUGUCUCUCGCUGGUGUCUUUCCACCUUGAAUCACUAACGGGCCUUUAUGAGAAGGUUUAGGUUGUCCAUCAUUUUACAAGGAAAGACAUUUUUCACUGUUAAAUUAACAUUUAUUACCAACAUGUGAAACCUAAAAUUAAUUUUGUAUCCCAUGUAAUCUAAGGCCAAAGCCAACAUAUUCUUUCUCUUCCGGGAAAAUAAAAUGGACAGGUUUUAUUUAAACUUUCAGAAACUGAAGCUUUAUUCCACCCAUCCUGCCACGAGACCACCAGUGAAAGAUCUCAUGUGAUUGUUUCUCUUUUAUCUCCCAAAUGUAAUGUGGGCAAUAAAAUUCUCCUUCCACAACUCACUGUUUUGUUACAAAUACAAUAUUACUGAAACAUCUUAUUAGCAGAUAAGUGUAGACCAGGAGCCUAAUUGUUUUGGGUAUUUUCAGUGCACAUUUCACAAUUGUUUUUCAUUUUAGGAUUAUUUUGAGAAGAAAACAAAAUAUUUUGUCAUUGAAAUAGUUUUAAUUUCCUUUAAACCAUAAUUUGGUUUUUGUAUCUAUAUUAUAUUCAAUUCAGUUUUCCCAUAUAACUUUUCUGAAGAUUGGCUAGUACCACAAAAUAACUAUGGCUUCACAAUACUAGUGUUAGAUUAUGUCAAGAAGAAAGUAUUUUAGUUACAACAUAUGCUACCCACUGAGGACCUUGUAGUGGGAUAAACAAAAAUUAAAAUGCAACAAUCCAAAUAAAUUAUAAGGUAACAGUACAAAUAUCUGAAUCAUAAGUCACAGUUGUUCAGGGUUAUUUCAGUCACACCACUUUAUAAUUAAUCCUUGUGAGUCAUCAGAUGGAAGAAUGUACCUGAAAACCUUACUUAGUAUACUCUGUGUACACUGUUUAAUGGCCAUGCAUCUUUUCAAGAUUGAUAUUUUCUGAAAAAGGGUUGUUUGCCUCAGCCCUCUUCUUUUUACAUAUACUCCCUUUAUCAUUGAUAUUUUAGAUGUUUCUUAUCAACAAAAUUGGCUGCCUGUGGUUAGUGCUAUGAGUCCUGGCAAGACUUGCUUUUGCAUUUCGGAAGCCAGACCCUCCUACAAAACAGAACAGUGCAAAAUAAGCAGCAGAGAGACAGACAAUUGGAAAAGACAUGUUUUCUUUAGGUAUUAAUAUCUUAAUUAAAUGGAAUCAGAUUUUCUAUGAAAAUGAGUUUAUAUUACAUUUCCAUUAUACUGUUAAGUUAGUGUGAAAGUUUACCAUCAAAAUAGUGUUACUUCUUUUAUGACUCUGAUUUGCUUAUACAUAUCAGAAUGUUCAUUAAAUGUUUUAAUUUCAUUUAUUUUCCUAUGUUUUGAUUAGUUUCACAUCAAGUCUGAAUACUGUAUAUUUUGGAAGAAUCUAAAACCACAUAUGAAGAUACUCUGAUUUUAAAAGUCAGGAUUUCAUGUACCAAGAAUGACCUACUUGAAGGAGAUUUUGCUACACUCUUAGAGUCCCCAAAAUUCCCCUUUUAAAAAAAUGCUGUCCUCUAGAAGGUGUAUAAACUAUACCUUAGUCAUAAUUCAAUUUAAUGAAAUAGUACCCCAUUAAAAACCAUCCUCCUGCCUCAUACCAAUUCAGAGAUUAAAUUCUGACCUUUUAGUGUAGGCAUUAGGAAUCACUUAGCCACCUAAUAAGGACUAAGAUUCUUGGGUGGCAGAAAAAUCCUGAUGUGCUAGAUUCUUAGUCACUUUAAACUGCAUAGAAGUAAUGAGCAUAGGCUUCAGUAUAUUUAAUAAGGUGCUGAGGCAGCAGAUUCAAAUGCAAAAGAGGGAGGAACCAGUUAUUCCAAGGCAGGAUGAUGCACCCCCACACAGAGUGUGGAAAAAUUAAAGUGAAACAAAGAUUUGGACAAUGGCAUUAGGAAGCCUAAGGAGAACAUGCUACAAGGCCAGAUCCUGUCCUGUGGAAGAUAAAAAAGAUCAGCAGAACUAAAGCAAAAGCAGUCAUCUCCAGUGUGUGGGCCUUAGCAAGAGUAAACCAAAUACCUCUCAUUGUGUUAGAAGCUGUGUUAUAUUCCCAGCUCAGAGAUGAUUGUGUGCUGUGCAAUGCUUAUACUCAUUAUUUUCCCAACUAAUGCAUUUGGUCAUAUGUAUUCCAGUUUUUCAAAGACACUACCCAAAGCCUCUUUACAUUUGCAUUGGUUAUAUUUAAUAUUUCUUAAGCUAAGAUCACUGAUUAUCCACACAUUAUUAGAAAUCUUUGGUUACAGUGAAGCUAAAGUCUCCGAAAUGAGAUUACACUUAGAUCAGCCCUAUUUCACCUUUGGACUAACAUUGACUAAAUGGCUCCUAGAGUUAUCCACAGAGGGAGCUUACUAUGAUGAGAGCUACUGUGGGGAAACAUAGUAUUCAACAGAGAAAUGGAAGAAUACAAGUAGCAAUGCUCCUUGUCUUCAAUAACAUUUGAGGGAAAGGAAUCUAGAAACCCUAAAGCUAGUCAUGGUGCCUAAGGUAAGACACAAAAAGAAUGAGACAUCCAGAAAGGAAGGUUGAAAGGAAAUGAAGGGCAGUAACAAAGCACCAAUGUAAAAUGACCCAAAGCCAACAAUAAAGGCAAUAACAAUAAGGGAAACUAACCCUCACAAAGGGUUUGAGGAGCUUCCUGCUGUGUGUCCUUAAACAGUGCAUGCCUCUUAAGUCUCUACAACACUUGUUUCAAGGGCAUCGAAUUGGACAUUGGUUUAAUUUUUCCUAUGCUCCCUAUAAUCUCGGGAGGUAACCAUUGUUUAACCAGAAUUACCCUUGCUCUGUUUUUCUGUGAGGCCUCAGACAUAACGGUGGUUCAGCCCUCUCCCUAAGCAGUAGCAAGCCAAGUAAUGGCACACGUAUGUCUAGGAUAGCCAGCAUUCAGGAAAAUUGCUGUGAACCUCCUGUUUUUUAUUUUAGUAAAGAAAAAAAUGUCUUUCAGGUUUGUGACAUGAAGACAGAUUUAGCUUCCCUCUUGUCAGCAAAUUUGUAAGAACCUGAAAACAACUGAACAUUUGGAAUUCACUCUAAGAGAUACAAAUCCUGAAUUUCUAACUAUCUUCUCAAAUAUUACUGAGGCAAUUAUUAUUGAGGCCAGCAAGAUGCAAGUGUUCUGCAAAGUAAUAAACUGUUCUAAGUGAUAGUGUUGAUGCUGGAAGUGGAAUGUUAUGUUUUCCCUCAGCUGUAUUCAUUCAGAAAGUUUUUCUUGAACAUCUACCAUAUGAGGUGCAGAGAAUACUACCAGGUGCUAGGUUUUCCCGUAUUUGACUUCUGAUUACUGUUUCCUUUUCUCAUCUUUCACUUUCCAAGAUUUUGCUUUACCAAAAUAGUAAAGCCUUUAUCAUCAGCUUAUAUUGAAUAAUGCUGUAAUUGGCCUCAACCAAAGAGUUUCUCCUCAGGUGCUUCGGGGCCUCUACCCUUCUAAGGAACUCCCAGGCACCUACUUAACAAGGCCAGCUACACACUCAGUAUAUGAGAAGCCCCAUGAUAGGUGCAGGUUAGAAUUCAAAGACUGGUUGGAGUCCUAGAUGUGGAGACAGGAUGAUCAGGUGGCACUUGUUAGAUGAGUAACACUAUCGGUAGAAGCUCCUGAGAGAUUUCCUAACGCAGCAAGAUUUCUGUGAGUGGAGGUAUCCUGGAGGCAGCCUAUUGACCAAGUAAGCUGAUCAGGUGGCCUCCUCUACCCACUAAAGAAAUGUGUAAACACUACCAAUAAUUGCUUUAUCUGAAACUCCUGGAGAUACUCAGUUCUUCCAUCCCACUGUUCUAUUGCCAAUACCUUUUGUUGUUUUCUUCACACUCCUCUUGUCAGCAAAUGUCUGAAAGUAUUUCAAUUGUGUAAUGUUAAAGGGUUUUUUCCAAGGCUUCAGAAAAGAGGGCAACAAAUAUGAAGCCUUAAGUUCAAAAUAAGCCAUUCUACCUAGAUACACAGACCCCAGAGCACCAUUGCAUGAAAAUAAUCUGUACCCUGCAGUUCCCCAAAGCAGUAUUCUUCCUGAAAAGCCAAACACCACACCUAUUUUCCUAUUUGCUAAGAAUCAGAAUAAGCACAUUCUAAAUAGUAUCCAAACCAGAUUCUAAAAUGACAUAGUAAGAAGCCAGAUUCAAACUGUAACCAAAGUAGACAAUAGAAAUAUCACUUUACCCCAUUGUCACAUCAGUUAGAACACCCUUGCAAAAACUGUAAUCACUUAAGCAAUUCAUCUGAUCCCAGAAGAUCAGACCUUCUUUUGAAAGCGUAGGACAGAGAUCAAUGGGAAAUGUCAGCGUUGUGAGCAACACAGGAUAAAUCUAAGAGGGCCUUUAAAAGUAAAUCUCAAUUCAUACAUUGGAGCAGCAAAAAACUGAGCAAGAGAGAAAACUGAGAGUCCAAAGUCAUUUUUCAUAUAGCUCUUGUCAAAUAGUAUAACCUUUGGGUCUUCUUUGAGUUGCCCGGAUAAUAUUCAUGAAACAACUAAAUGCCCCCCAUUUGGGGAGGGGGGGUUCAGAUCUCUAACCUGGAUUCAAAGCCUUAGAGGCCGAGAGGGAAUCUGGAAUCUGGUAUUACUGAUAUCCUAGGUAAAAGAACCGGCCUGGCAGUCUUUCCCAGUUCACCGGUCCGUGCUUUUAUUUUUAAACCCAAAAGAAAGAAAGAAACACACCCUUUUAUGUAGGAAUUUCCCUUUUACAAAUAAUUUGACUUGCUAGAAAUAAACUUGCCUGCCUGCUCUUAAAUGCCAGACUGUUGCAAGCAAAUGCAGAGGGAAAGGUGCCCAGAGCCAUGCUUGAUGGGACUUUGAAUAUUUUCUCCUUACCUAAAGUACGUUGCUUGUAUUUAGACUAUAAGACGCUACAGAGGUCUAUCUCAUGCCAUGCCAGUGUGAACUGCUUUGCUCCAGUAACAAUCAGAAGACCAGUCCAACAGAAGAGAACUUGUCAUAAUUCCACCUUAGAUUCUAGACCUCUCGUACCUGCAGUGUACAGUAUACAGAAUAUGUACAUGUUCCAAUGGAAUUCACUAUUUUUGGCUUUAGUGUCAAAGAGAUUGGUUCUACAAGGUUCGUCUGAUUUCCCAUAACAAGUAAAUUUUAUAAUCCUAUGACUCUAAAUUCAAUCCCCAAUAUAGAUUCUAAGCAUCAAAUCAAAAUCAAAGAUAAAGGGGAACUGGUCGAGAGGGGUCUCAGUUAUUUCAAAUCCAUGACCAAAGUGGCCAAAGACAUGAAACUCUUACACCUGCUGAGCAUUUCACUUGACUGUACAAAGUGUCAGCUACCCAGUUCCGUCCUGUGAUGUGAUCAGUGUGGACCAGUGGCCAGGAGCAUAUUUAUGGGCCAUUUCUGUUCAUCAUUCUUUACAGAGCACUGAGGUUUCCCACUGAAACAGUUUCUUCAGUCAGAUGCCUAUAGAUUUUACAUAAAUUUACAUUUAAAUGUAUUAAGUUAGAUGGCCUAAUUGAGCAUCCGAAUGGGGGUUGGUGGUGGUGCAGAUUCUGCUGGCUUUAUGUUAUGGUUUUCUUUGUUUUUUUCUUGGUUUUGUCUAGCUGCUUCUGGCAAGGGCCCUAAAAGAUUGGAACACUAUAUAAAGUCGUAGACAUAGAACCAUAUGGGAAAGCCCAGAGGAAAAACGUGGAAGAAUAAAAUCAGGUUGUCAACGUGCCAGCAACAGCCCUGACUUCUUCCGGAACCCAAGCAAACAAAGCCAGGACAAAAUGUACAAAUGGUGCCCAUGCCAUUUGACUGUGGGUGACCCGCUAGUCUAGGGCUCUCAUAGUGACUGGUUGUGGAAAUAUGAUUUUUCUAAGUUCCUCCCUUUUCCCUUUGAUAGAUGAGUUUGAGAUAAUGGAGUAGGAGUGAGGCCCUAAGGCACUUCUGGUAAAGACAUUCCACCUGCAAGCAGCAUUUUGAGCAAAGCACUGCUGUGGUUUGCCAAUUUAUGGUCCAUUUAAUGUCAGGCUAAAGCACCUUUAAUCAUUUUUGUUGUUUUAAGGUAAUAUAUUUGUGAAGUGGAUAAACACUGGAAAUAGGGUGCUUCUUCUGGAAAGUUCAGUGGAAAACACAAACAAGGCUUUGGCGGGUUUAUCUGGCUUUAUAAACAAGUCUGAAAAAUGGAUGAAAGCUAAAUAUAUAAAGCAGUUGGUUGUCUAUCUUUUAUCAUUUUAACUCAGAUCUGUAUUUAACACUUAUUUAUUUGUUAGUUUUUACAUUCAAAAGAAUACACUUUGAACUUUGGCUAACAUUGUAGGAUAUUUUUAAAUUGUUUCUACAUUUUUAAAGCAUGAUUUCAUCUUUUUGUAAACUUAGAUCAUUUUUGAAUUGCCUUUUCUUUUCCAAUAGACCAAUUACCACUCAUGUGUCUGCAGAACCUCUUCAUUGUAUUCUUAUAAUAAAUGUAAAAUAUUUGUAGC